AAUUUCUUUAAAUUAAUUUCCAAGUUGUCUAAUGAGGCAAUGAGCCAUUAUAUUCAUAAUAGUUACUAUGUUAUAGUAUAAUUCUGAUGUUAGAGCUUCUAAUGAUAUAUCAAUUUCAUAUGUUUCAGGAAUGGUACAAUUAGUUUGACUAAUUAUAAAUAUCAAAUAUCUGCUAAGAAUUCCAAUAUUGUUUCUAAUGAUUUUAAUUUUUUAUUUCGUAGUUUGUUUCUUAACCAGGGACUGGAACCGAACCGAAAAGAACCGGUUCUGGAACCCAAAAACCCUUAAAAUAUUGAGAACCAAAACCUAACCGGAACCGAAUUUCAAUAUUUUCAAAUAACCGGAACCGGAACCCUUAUUUUUAAAUUUAAAAAACGGAUUUUCAAUGUUAAAUUAUUUUAUUUUUUCCUCCUUAACUUAUGCUCAAUUUAUCGGCAUAAUGCUUUUACCUCAGAUUAAAAUACGUUUGUUUUGAUAAACUAUUUUUAUUUCUGUUUAGAGUUGUUUAUUUCUUGUGAAAUAAUGAUAAGUAAUGUUAUGACUUAUUAACUCUAUUGUUAUCAUAUUGAAUUUUUCAACUUUCAAAUCUAUGGUGAUCACGGUCGUAGAAUAUGGUGAUGGUAUCUUUUCUUCCAAGACAUUGUGUAUAUAUUUAGAAAUCCAACCAAAAUAAUAUAGAUUACAAUACUGAUUACUGUCAAUUACCCGAAUUCACGGUUGAUAGUUUGACUAUUAUUGGUGUGUACUUCUCAAUUGACUAUUGAGUCACUAUUUAAGUCAUUGGUUAAACUAAAAAUUGUUACUAUGCCUCGAGUAUAUAAAUCUGUUGUUGAAGAAUAUUUUGACUAUAACGAAGUGGAAAAAAUUUCUACGUGCAAAAAAUGUUUGAACAAAAUUAAAAAGCGGAUAAGGUUCUAGAACCGGUUCAGCUUCACCAGACAUAUAAUCAAACCGUACUACUGAAAAUUAUUUAAUAUUAUAAAUCAUUUUUAAAACUUAAUAGGUAUGAUUAAUAUUUUCAGUUUUUGUUGAUAUAUGUAAUUUUUUUCAUAACAAACGACAAUUAUUAUGUGAUCAUAAAAUUGUUCGUAUUUUUAAAAUGAUUACAUAGCUAAGAUACACUUUCUUGUAGGUACUCAGCAGUCAGUAAAUAUAUUUUCUAUUAUAUACACGUACCCUGUGUUUUUCUAAUUUUUUUUAUCAAUUAAUUAAUACGAUAUGGACAUGUGGUCUCUACCUCAAAGUGAAGAGGAUGCAGUAAGGCUACUUCAGGAACAUGGUAUAUUACAUACGCAAAGACAAUGCAAGAAUGGUCAUGACACUAAAUUAUACUUCGGAAAGUUGAUAUUUUGGAAGUGUAAUAUUAAAAAUUGUCAAAAAAAGGUAAGUGUCCGAAGUAACACUUGGUUUGAGCACAGUCGUCUUCCAUUUGAUACUGUUUUACGGUUUAUUUUUGCUUGGAGUCAAGAGUUUACUUCAAUAAAAUGGUGUGAACAAAAUUUGAAAAUAAAUAAAAAUACAGUAAUAGAUUGAAAUAAUUAUUUGCGGGAAGUUUGUGUACUGAAUGUUGAGGCAAGGAAUCAAGGAAAAAUUGGAGGAUGCGAAAAAAUUGUCAAAAUAGACGAAAGUUUAUUUUCCAAGCGCAAAAAUAAUGCAGGCAGAAUUCUUCCACAACAGUGGAUUUUUGAAGGUCUAUGUCGGGAAACUAAGGAAUGUUUUUUGGUCCAGAUUCCUGAUCGAAAUAUGUCUAUACUCUCCUAAAUUCAAUAUUACUAAAUAUAAAAAAAGGAACAAUAAUUUAUUCUGAUUGUUGGCGGGCAUACAGCUUUAGCGAACUUGAGAAAGCGGGUCAUAAAUAUUUAACAGUAAACCACACAAAAAACUUUGUAGAUCCCCAAAGUGGAGCACAUACUCAAAGUGUAGAACGUCUAUGGGGAUCAGCAAAAUGGCAGAAUAAAAAACAUCGUGGCACCGCGCGUCAUCAUCUAAAAUCAUAUUUAGCUGAAUUCAUGUGGAGGCAAAACGCAAAAGAAUGUAAAUUCACCGAAAUUUUAGAAACAAUAAAAAUUCAAUUUCCUCCAUUAUUAUAAUUUUUUCUUACAUUGAACAUCUUAUAUUGUAAUAAUUAUUUAUUUUAUUUGUGGAUUUACUAAUUUGUAUUAUUAUUAUUUCAUUGUUUUCUAUACGCCGCGGCAAAUUUAGUAUUAUGUAUUUAAUUUUUUUUUAUAUAAUUCUUAUCCUUAUGAUACACAAAUUAUUUAUUAUUUUAUUUGUGGAUUUACCAUUUUGUAUUAUUAUUAUUAUUUUAUUGUUUUCCGUACCUACGCCGUGGCAAAUUUGGCACUUUUGAGUGUAGGUAGCGUGUAAAAUACAUAACGAAUAAUUACUAUGCAUAUUUAAAAUUUUUCUUUAUUUCAUUCUAGCCAUACCCACGAUACAUAUUAUUAAAAAAAUAUAUCAAAGAAGGCAAAGGUAGUCUCGUAUAAUAGGAAAGUACCAUUUUAGUAGUCUUAGAUAACAGGAUUGUGAUGUUUCACAAAAUAAGUGCGGUAGUCGUGAUAACGGAGGUAGUCUUGGGUGGUAGUCGCGAUAAGCAGCUGUAGUCUCGUAUAACAGGAAAGUACCAAAUACAAUUUUAAAGCAAUUUUUAAUAUAAUAUUAUUUAUUCAUAAUUAAAGGCUCGGUCAAACAGAAAGCUGUCUGCCAUGGUGUACGCCGUACAGGUACGCUAUCCACGGCGGACAGUCCGCGUGGCUGUAUUAUUUUACAGUGUCCGCGCGGACAGACUGCUUUGUGUUUUACUGAACCUAACCUAAAAUAAAAAAAAAAACAAAAAUUAAUGUUAAAAUAUGUAAUUAAGGAUGUCAGAGCCGGUGCAUUUUUCUUGUGUUUAAUUACUCAAAUUGUCUGUAAGUUUAUAUAUAUAUAUAUAUAAUUAUCAAUAAGGUUUAUUUUUACUAUUCUUUUUGUCACCAAUAACUUUCUUUUUUAAUGUAUUCAAUUAUUGUGGAUUGCCUAUUUUACAACGAUUAAGUGGAUAAUUAUCGACUGAAUAGCGAAACAAUAUAAUAUUAAUGUAAUAAUGUAAUAAAUAAUAAUACUUUAUUUUUAUUA
rnacentral:lncRNA from 1 species